GACAGAGGGUGCAACCGUUGUUCGGAAUUACUGGGCGUAAAGCGCGUGUAGGCGGCAAGGCAAGUCGGAUGUGAAAGCCCACGGCUCAACCGUGGAAGUGCACCCGAAACUGCCUAGCUAGAGUCUCGGAGAGGAAGGUGGAAUGCUUGGUGUAGAGGUGAAAUUCGUAGAUAUCAAGCGGAACACCGGUGGCGAAGGCGGCCUUCUGGACGAUGACUGACGCUGAGACGCGAAAGCGUGGGGAGCAAACAGG
rnacentral:rRNA from 1 species